GUGGGGAAUAUUGGGCAAUGGGCGAGAGCCUGAACCAGCCAAGUCGCGUGAAGGAUGAAGGUUUUAUGAAUUGUAAACUUCUUUUGCAGGGGAAUAAAGUACGGUACGUGUACCGUUUUGUAUGUACUCUGCGAAUAAGGAUCGGCUAACUCCGUGCCAGCAGCCGCGGUAAUACGGAGGAUCCAAGCGUUAUCCGGAUUUAUUGGGUUUAAAGGGUGCGUAGGUGGUUUGAUAAGUCAGCGGUGAAAGUUUGCAGCUUAACUGUAAAAAUGCCGUUGAAACUGUCGGACUUGAGUGUAAAUGAGGUAGGCGGAAUGCGUGGUGUAGCGGUGAAAUGCAUAGAUAUCACGCAGAACUCCGAUUGCGAAGGCAGCUUACUAAGCUACAACUGACACUGAAGCACGAAAGCGUGGGGAUCAAACAGGAUUAGAUACCCUAGUAGUCC
rnacentral:rRNA from 1 species